ACCUGGGUGGCUCAGUUGGUUAAGCAUCUGAGUUCUGCUCAGGUCAUGGUCUCACGGUCUGUGGGUUCGAACCCCGCAUCAGGCU
rnacentral:tRNA from 1 species